rnacentral:rRNA from 1 species
GACGAACGCUGGCGGCGUGCCUAAUACAUGCAAGUAGAACGCUGAAGGAGGAGCUUGCUUCUCUGGAUGAGUUGCGAACGGGUGAGUAACGCGUAGGUAACCUGCCUGGUAGCGGGGGAUAACUAUUGGAAACGAUAGCUAGUACCGCAUAAGAGUAGAUGUUGCAUGACAUUUGCUUAAAAGGUGCAAUUGCAUCACUACCAGAUGGACCUGCGUUGUAUUAGCUAGUUGGUGGGGUAACGGCUCACCAAGGCGACGAUACAUAGCCGACCUGAGAGGGUGAUCGGCCACACUGGGACUGAGACACGGCCCAGACUCCUACGGGAGGCAGCAGUAGGGAAUCUUCGGCAAUGGACGGAAGUCUGACCGAGCAACGCCGCGUGAGUGAAGAAGGUUGUCGGAUCGUAAAGCUCUGUUGUAAGAGAAGAACGAGUGUGAGAGUGGAAAGUUCACACUGUGACGGUAGCUUACCAGAAAGGGACGGCUAACUACGUG